GAAUGCAGUGCUGUAAGCUGCUGUUGACUGUGUGAAUGUGUGUCUGUGCUGCUUGUUGCUGCUGUCAAACUUCAGAUGAGCCGGUAGUGAAGCCCGUGGUGAGCGUGUACCCAGCAGCAUCCAGAGCCCACCUGGAGGGGAAGAGCUCCCUGCUGUGUCUGGCCUCAGCCAUGUUUCCUCCUCUGGUCCAGUUCUCCUGGAAAAGACGAAAGGAGAAUGGUCCUCUGGAGGAUCUGCUCCCUGAUGAGGGAGAGCAGCUGGAGAUCAGAGAGUCAGGACGCACCGCCUCCAUCUUGCUGAUCCAUCAGCAAGUUAACAGCACAUAUAAAUACCGCUGUGAGGUCCAACAUGAGGGGGGACCAGUGGAGGCCCACACAGAACAAGAGGUUCCAGCUCCAGCAGCCUCCUGUCCUCCAGAGAGAGAUCCACCAGACCAGCUAGCUCUGGAGGAAGCUGACUGUAAGAUCACCUGCUCACUCUCCUUCAAUAACCUUUUACACUUCAGCUUCUGUUUUCAAUGUCAACACUUACAGUCACUGUCCUGGCUCCAUAACUGAAAAGCUUGGUAGAGAUUUGACUUGUUUGUUUUUAAUAGGGGCCUUUGAACUUUCAUGUAAAUUGUAGCCGACCCCCGUCUUUAUGUGAAGGUGGUUGUCCCGUCUGGAAACGUCCAAGUUAUACUGAUGAAAAUCUGAAGAUGUUCUGAUGAAAUAUAUAUAGUAGAACAUACUGAAAACUGUGUGUGUGUGUGUGUGUGUGUGUGUGUGUGUGUGUGUGUGUGUGUGUGUGUGUGUCAGUGUCCUUCCAGUUUCAGUGCAGGGUGAAGUUGUUCUGUCUGCUGUACACACAGCUGAUAGUGAAGAGUCUGGUGUACUGCUGUGGACUCUCUCUGCUGAUGAUCCUCAGAAACAAGGGACCGUCCACCAACUGAACACAUGCUGACUGACUGUUUUCUGCUCGACUUUUCUCGCCAUCAAAUCUCAUCAAUUCAUCUCAUUUAUCACUUUAAUCACUAUUCACAAAUAUCAAUUAUGACGUGUUGUAGUUGUCAUCUGAACCAUAUAAAUACAUAUAUAUCUUAGCAGUUAUUAACUUUAAAUUCUGUGGUGUUUUUAGAUACUUUAGUUUAUUUCUACUUUUAAUUGUGACUUGUAUAAUGAUAAUUUGAAUAAUCAGCUGUCUGGUAGAUAUUUCAUAGUUC
ensembl:lncRNA